CCAAUUACAUGUGAAGUGGUGAAAGGCUGAUUCCUAUCCUGUCGACCUACCCUCUCUCCUUUCUCUUUGUCCUGACGAGGUGGAGGAAAAGGAAGUAAUCUAUAUCUUAUCUGCUAUAUAUAUAUAUGUUUGCAACGAUCAAUUAAAGAAGCAUUUAAGGGUGAGAAAUUACCCCUUGUCAGAUGCGUUUGGCUUUCUCUGGAUUUGGUAACUUGGAGAUGGUGGCGGAAAUCGGUUCACCAGAGCUCCUUUGUUCUGUAGCUCGUCCAAGUUUUCUGGUCCCCAGGAAGCCCGAGAGGAGAGCGUUGUUGUCUUUAAUGCCUGGGCUUGGGACUUGUCGGGGUUGUGCUGCCAAGAAAGCAGCAAAAAUGAAUGCAAAUGUCCAUAAAAAGAUCGUCAAUUUCUUACCUCCUUCCACGACGCUUGUGUUGAAAUUUGAGCUUUC
rnacentral:lncRNA from 1 species